AAAAAGUAAACCCUGGGUUUCUGUGUUCAACUUUGACUGUCCGUCUUAUAUAAAAUUUUUUUAUAAUUCAUAUUUUCAUUGUUGCUAGAUGAUAAAACAUGAUUAAUAUUUUAUGCGUGACUUGUCUUUUUAAUUUUUUUUAUAAUUUUUUUAAAUAAAGCGGAUGGUCAAAUGUUGGACACGAAAACC
rnacentral:pre_miRNA from 1 species